rfam:Strongylocentrotus purpuratus Contig15619_fixed, whole genome shotgun sequence.
GGUGUGUUGGCUCAGUCAGUAGAGCGUCCGACUUACAACCGGGAGGUCGUGGGUUCGAACCCCAGCCGCGUCA